GUGAACGCUGGCGGUAGGCCUAACACAUGCCAGUCGAACGGCAGCACAGUAAGAGCUUGCUCUUACGGGUGGCGAGUGGCGGACGGGUGAGGAAUACAUCGGAAUCUACUUUUUCGUGGGGGAUAACGUAGGGAAACUUACGCUAAUACCGCAUACGACCUACGGGUGAAAGCAGGGGAUCUUCGGACCUUGCGCGAUUGAAUGAGCCGAUGUCGGAUUAGCUAGUUGGCGGGGUAAAGGCCCACCAAGGCGACGAUCCGUAGCUGGUCUGAGAGGAUGAUCAGCCACACUGGAACUGAGACACGGUCCAGACUCCUACGGGAGGCAGCAGUGGGGAAUAUUGGACAAUGGGCGCAAGCCUGAUCCAGCCAUACCGCGUGGGUGAAGAAGGCCUUCGGGUUGUAAAGCCCUUUUGUUGGGAAAGAAAAGCAGCAGGUUAAUACCCCGCUGUUCUGACGGUACCCAAAGAAUAAGCGCCGGCUAACUUCGUG
rnacentral:rRNA from 1 species